AAGAAUCAGCCCCUGAGGUCUCCAGGAAGUACCUUGAUUUGAAAGAGCUGUGACCAACCUCAGUGGCAUCUCCAACUACCACGCUGCGGAAGUCUGUGAGGCCAUGGUCCUCAGCCCUUUGCACAGAUUAAAACCCCAAUCCCAGCCGCACCCCAGACCAAUCAAUCAGGAUCUCUGGAGAUGGGGCCCAGGCAUCUAUCUAUCUAUCUAUAUAUAUAUAUAUAUAUUGAUUCCUCAGAUGAUUCCAAUGUACAGCCAAUGAUGAGCAGCUGCUGGGCUGGAGGGACUGGGGCCAUUUUAUACCAGUUGUAGGAUGUUACACAGAAAUGGCUGAAAAGCAAGGAGCAGCUAUCAGAAUGUUUGGUGACAUAGCUUCUCCUUUCGUGGUCCGUUCAGCAUGGACUUCACAUUCAGCAGACCCAUGAGGUGUUCCCUUUCGGAUGAGCUCCAAGGUCUUAAGAGGGCAUCUCUAGUCUGCGUGAGUCUGUCUGAACGAUGGUCCUGAGCAAGAACCACCUAUAACCAUCUGCUCAAAAUAACUCAGGGGAAGUCAAAGCUUUCUAAGUGGAAGGUGUCCGAAACCACAUACACAGACCACUGUAGCAUUCCUGACAUUAUGGAGCUUGGAAAUGAGUCCAAAUGCGAACAUAGCUUGCUACGUGAGGGACAUGUUUUGCUAUGACAAGAACUUGGAGUGUAAUCCUUCCCCCCUCAAGAAUGUGACAUCACACCUCAUCAGAUCCUAUGUGUGAGCUACUGACCUCAACCACUGAACUUCAAACUACUUAAAAACCUAAGGGUUUGACAGACAC
rnacentral:lncRNA from 1 species